UUGGUCAGGGGGGGGGAUGAGGCUCCCUGGGAAACUACCAAUUAAUACCGCAUACGACCUACGGGAGAAAGGGGGCAACUUGUUGCUCUCGCUAUUAGAUGAUCCUAAGUCGGAUUACCUACAUGGUGGGGUAAAGGCCUACCAUGGCGACGAUCUGUAGCUGGUCUGAGAGGAUGAUCAGCCACACCGGGACUGAGACACGGCCCGGACUCCUACGGGAGGCAGCAGUGGGGAAUAUUGGAUUCACAUGGGGGAAACCCUGAUCCAGCCAUGCCGCGUGUGUGAAGAAGGCCUUUUGGUUGUAAAGCAAUUUAAGCAAUGAAGAAGACUCUUCGGUUAAUACCCGGAGACGAUGACAGUAGCUGCAGAAUAAGGCACCGGCUAACUCUGUGCCAGCAGCCGCGGUAAUACAGAGGGUGCAAGCGUUAAUCGGAAUUUACUGGGCGUAAAGCGAGCGUAGGUGGUCUUGAUAAGUCAGAUGUGAAAUCCCCGGGCUUUAACCUGGGAACUGCAUCUGAUACUGUCAGGCUAGAGUAGGUGAGAGGAAGGUAGAAUUCCCAGGUGUAGCGGUGAAAUGCGUAGAGAUCUGGAGGAAUACCGAUGGCGAAGGCAGCCUUCUGGCAUCAUACUGACACUGAGGCUCGAAAGCGUGGGUAGCAAACAGGAUUAGAUACCCUGGUUAGUCCACGCCGUAAACGAUGUCUACUAGUCGUUGGGUCCCUUGAGGACUUAGUGACGCAGCUAACGCAAUUAAGUAGACCGCCUGGGGAGUACGGGCCGCAAGGUUAAAACUCAAAUGAAUUUGACCGGGGGCCCGCAUCUAAGCCCGCGGAGCAUGUCGGUUUGAAUUCCGAAUGCAACUGCGAAGAACCAUAGCCUGGCUCUUUGACAUAUCUAGUAAUCCUGCAGAGAUGCGGGAGUGCCUUCGGGAAUUAGAAUACAGGUGCUGCAUGGCUGUCGUCAGCUCGUGUCGUGAGAUGUUGGGUUAAGUCCCGCAACGAGCGCAACCCUUGUCCUUAGUUACCAGCGGGUUAAGCCGGGAACUCUAAGGAUACUGCCAGUGACAAACUGGAGGAAGGCGGGGACGACGUCAAGUCAUCAUGGCCCUUACGACCAGGGCUACACACGUGCUACAAUGGUAGGUACAGAGGGCAGAUACACAGCGAUGUGAUGCGAAUCUCAAAAAGCCUAUCGUAGUCCAGAUUGGAGUCUGCAACUCGACUCCAUGAAGUAGGAAUCGCUAGUAAUCGCGGAUCAGAAUGCCGCGGUGAAUACGUUCCCGGGCCUUGUACACACCGCCCGUCACACCAUGGGAGUUGAUCGCACCAGAAGUGGUUAGCCUAACCGUAAGGAAGGCGAUCACCCACCGGUUGUUAGGGGUU
rnacentral:rRNA from 1 species